GCAAUACAAGCCUCUGCCGUGGCUUUAUGACUCCCACAAGGUGUGUGUGUGUGUGUGUGCGCGCGCGCGCGCAAUUCUUUCUACAUCCCCAGAGCGAAAUGACUGGAUGAUUUCAGAGUGGAACUGUAAAUCCAUUGAUUUCAAUGGAGCACGCUGAGUAUGACUUAGGUAUAUAUAUAUCAGCCACUGAAUUAGUUUAUAGCUUUAAAAUAAUAUCCAGUUUAAAAGCACUUCAGUUAUUAGGAAGUCACUUCCUAUAAAGCCUAAAUUAAUUAGGUUCUGUAUAUAAAUCAAAAUAAAAGUAUUGGUCCAAGCUUACAACCCUGAAGACUAAAUAUAUUAAAAAGGGGAUAGAAGUUGAAUAAACAUUCUGCCCAUCUACAUGUUUCCAAGUCCACCUCUCACAUUAUUUAUAACUCAGAUUAUAUAUAGUCAUGUUUACUGUAAGGGUCAAUUUAUUUCCUCAGGAUUUAUUUCUAAUUAAGCAUUUCUAAUUAAGUAAGUGUAAGUAAUCCUACACAUACCUACUCAAAAGUAAGUCCCGCUGAGAACAAUAGGACUCACUCCUAGGAUUGCAGCCUUAGGAAUUCAAUGUUUAUAGGACAAAUAAAUCCCAGGGCACAUGCUUAGACGUUAAAUAAUUUUGGGCCUGAAAAUAAACCACCCAAAUUGUGUUUACAGUGAAAUUGUACUUCUCUUCUGCCCUCUAACUGUCACCUUGUUAAAAGAAACCAACUUCAUUCUUUUGAUGAGGUGAUGACCACAUAAAUCACCAGAACAGCCUUCAAUAAAUUAGCUAUCUAAUUUCAUUAGUCACCAUAUGUCAAAUAGCCAAGAAUUGCAACCUCUUCAGAUUUAGAUAGAAGCACAGAGGAGGGAGGAAACACAGACUGCCUCCAUGUGCCACCUAUGCUUUGCUGUCCUGGCAAAGGGACCUUCAGUUCUUGGGAGGAGAAGCAGCAAGUUGGAGAAGAUGGGCCAAGAGCCUUUUGCACAUGGCGUCCUUGGGGCUGGUGUAGAUUACUGCCUGCUCUUGGGAUAAGGAGAGCUCAGGAACUGCCAUGCCGCCUUUGCAUGUGACCAGGAAUCAUGGAGUGUCCUGGGGUGGGCUUCAAGAAUUCAUCCGUGAUAGAUAAUCAUAUCUUUGCUGAAAGAAUUGCACAGCUUCCUGCAGGGGUGUGUUGAGCAUGUUCUAGAGACAGUGUUAAUAAUUCUUUGGGGUGCUGGUUAAAGCAAAAACACUGAAAGAGAAGGGAGUGCAAAUCCAAAAACCAAGGUGAUUCCCAAAGGUGUUGAGAAUUAAGUUUCAUUCUUUCUUUUAAAAAUCCACUCCAGAUUACCUAGUUACACCUACACAUUUCACAAGUGGCACAAGUAGUUUUCCUGAGAAGAAAAUGACUAGCUUGCACUGAUACGUGCAAGAUGGGGAGAAAGCGCAAAUUUGUCAAUGAGGAAGAGAGACUUUUGCUCAGAAUAAGUUAAGGUGUGACAUUGUGAUCCAGAGUGUUGUUGAUUUCAACCUAAUCCUCAGUACCUUUGGGCUUCCUUGUUCUUUGGUGUUGAUAAUACCCAACAAGCCUAGCAGUGAGUCAUGGAUGAAUUGAGUGUGCAUGCUUGAACACACACCAGAAAUCCUUUGCAGUAUGAUGGAAUUCUGUGUUUUAAUGUUUAAUUCUGGUUUUAAUGUUGUCUUUUAAAUUGUUGUAACCCUUCUGGGACCUCAGGAUGAAGGCUGGGUAUUAAAUUAAAAUUACCAUCAACAACAAAUCUUCUGAGUCUUGCUAUAUGCUUUACCUCCCCUAUCUUGAGAAUCAUUAUUGUCCCUUGUUUCUAGUUAUGCCCUAAUUAUUCUUUCUGCAACAACAACAACAACAACAACAACAACAAUAAUAAUAAUGUUGUACCCCACUCAUCUGACUGGGUUGCCCCUGCCACUCUGGCUUCCCUAUACAGGGCUGCCUGCAUAUGCAACACUGAAACUUAAUUCCUAUCUUGUGCUUUUCUGAAAGAUAACUUCUGUUUAAAUACUCCCACAGCCAGAAGCAUGGUUGUUGUUUUUCAUAGGGAAAGAACCCAAUUUAUGUGCAAGUAAAUUGUGCUAAAUAAUAGCGUGUAAAAAGCAAACUUCUGGGUUUUAUUUUAAAGCUAUGAAAUCUUAAACAGUUACAUUAGUAUUUAAGUAUAUUUUGCAAAUUGCAGUUAUUAGCUAAAUGUCUUCAUUUGUUAUCCACAGAUUUCUUUCCUUACAAUUAGCUUUAUUUCUGUUCCUAAUUUGCCAAAUAAAUUCUAAUUACAAUUACCUUCUCUAAGAACCAUCAUCAAUUAGUUUUUCGUCGAACAUUACAGAGUAUUGUAAAAGCUGUACUAUGAGGGAUGGCCAGAAAUUGUCUUUCCAAGCCCUGUUUGUUGAGUAUGAGCAAUGACAAGGCACCCCCCAAAAUGCCCCACCUACAAACGUGGUCACCCCACCUAACAAGCAAGGCUAGCUACAGUGCUGCUCAAGCACCCCUAAUCAUAGGGUUUUUUGUCCUAAUUUUAAUAAAAUAUUUACCUGUUCAGUAUAGUUUCCCAUCGUUUUUGUUUUGUAAUGAGUGGUGUGAGAAGUCUCCAGGAUGAGGACACAGAAAAUGCUGACAAAGGAAAAGGCAGUUUAAAUUAGAUACAUGUCACGCUGCCUUUGUUUACAAGCCAUCAGAUUUAUGUCCUCUUCUCUCUUUUACUGCCUUUGUUCAACAGUUAACUUUACCUGGGAAGCCUUGUUUUGCUGCCUCAUCUUCUUUGUCACUUUUGCACCAUUACGUUCUUUUUCAGCUAGACUAUAUUUCAUUUAUGGUUUCGGAAUGCAACAUUAUUAGUGUAAAAUUAGAGGUGGACCACUGUAAAAAAUUUAAGGUACACUAGCAGUAAACCCAUAAAGUUAAAAUCUUGGAUGCAAAGUAUUGUAUUAUGUAAAUGGAAACUAUAACACAGUAGUCCAGAAGGAGCUGCUUUAAAUGUGCAUCCCAAUUAAAGAAAAGCAUAGAAAAACCACAAGCCAGUCAGAGCCAUAAAGAUCAGAGGAGGACAUUGAUAUUGUAAUCCCUGUAAUCCCAACAUCAGCAGAUGCCUAAAGGAACCAUGGAGAGCAAUGACCAAGGACAUGUAAACUGCUUUGUUAAAGAUCAGGUAGGAACAGAAGAAACACUAUGCUCCAAACACAGCACAGAUUCCUCAAAUUCAUAAUCAGCUAAUGGAUUACUACAGUUUUGAGGUGUUGUAACCCCCUUCUGAGCAGCCAACAUAAUCAAAUGAGUUCCUGAGCUGGUACAAAUUCAUUUUGAAAGAUACGAAUAGCUCAUUUCUAAGGAAAAUUGACUGCAGUAAAGAGCUAUCAAUAGAAGAGACAUACACUGACAAGUACACAGAAUAAUGUCUUAUGUCCUUCCAAAUAGUGGAUUUAUAUAUGUAUAUUAAAUUCAUGGGGGCCUGAGAUGCAACAUUUGGACAUUCAGGGGUCUCAUGGAGUAAGAAAGUGAAGAUUUUUGGGGUGGGGCUAAGAAUACAGGUUUAGGGAGAACUGGUAAAUAAACAUGAAAAUGUAGCCAGGUGUGCAUAUAGUAGCAUGUGGCUUGGAGGAAAAAGAAUGGAAGUGAUACCAUUUGUAGGCCAUUGGAUGCCUUUUACCCAACCUGAGAGGAAGGCAGUGUUCAGCAGGAAUCCUGCUGAGGAGUCAGUAGGGCUUGUAUACAGCUCCUGUUUCAUCUCCUUCCAUCAACACUGCCUCACUUCCAUGUAGGGUAAAGCACAUCCAAUGGCCUACUAAUGGUAUUGCAGAAGCCCAGGAGAUGUUUAUUUGAAACCAUGGGUCUUGUCACCCAAGAAGCUGCUUUUGUUCCAGUCACAUUGUUGGCCAUCUGAUAUAAAUGUGUAUAAAUGCUUCAUGUAUCAUCAACAAGAGCUAUAUUUGAAUGGGGAAUAAGAAUAUUGCAUGUGAGUAGUGUUAACAGGGCUUUGUGAAAGUGAGGAACUACAGUAGAUUCCGGCGCAUAAGGUGACUUUUUAACCACAGAAAAGAGGUUACAAAGUUGGGGUUCACCUUAUACGCCGGGUAUGAGUGGCGAGGAGUGGAGCCCCCCCCCCCCCCGCUGCUGCUGGGGCGGCUCCGAAGCAGCGAGCGGCAGGCUCAGCUCCGCGCUGGGCGGCUUUCUCCCGAUGCAGAGCUGCCCAGCGUAUUAGGCGACCGGGCUUAUAAGACAAAUCCCCAAAUUGCAGCUGCUAAUUUGGGGGGUCGUCUAAUACGCCCAGUCACCUAAUACGCAGAAAUCUAUGAUAAUAAGAUAUAAUACAGUGGUACCUCUGGUUACGUACUUAAUUCAUUCUGAAGGUCCGUUCUUAACCUGAAACUGUUCUUAACCUGAAGCACCACUUUAGCUAAUGGGGCCUCCUGCUGCUGCUGCUGUUCUCAUCCUGAAGCAAAGUUCUUAACCUGAGGUAAUAUUUCUGGGUUAGCGGAGUCUGUAACCUGAAGCGUAUGUAACCUGAAGCGUAUGUAACCCAAGGUACCACUGUAUAUAAUAAUAUAUAAUGCAGCCACAAAUUUAUGACUUGUAUAAACUUGGUUUAGAAGUGCUGACCGCCAAAACAGGACUUCCUCAGCUGAAGUUUUUUUCCUAUAGACAUAAUUAGUACUCUCAUUUGUCACUGAGACAACCAAUUAGAAGAUUGUUACUAUAGAAGUUAUGUAUCCACCAGUUCCAAUCAUGGAUGAACAAAUCUUCUUUGGAUUUUCCCCAAGACACUGAAACUAGUGAAACUGAAAGUUGCUACAAACUUGAAUUUAGGAUCACUGACCUAUGUUAUAAAACCUGUUGUAGAAAAUAGAUCAAAUGGUCAUGAUGCAGGAACAGGUUCCUACUAGAAGUGGGACGGGUGUGUGUGUCAGACUUUCAUGUCAAAACUUUAGCAACUUUAGCAAGCCGUUUCUUGGCAUUCUUCCUGGUUCCACAUUAGCUUCUGCAAAUCUUGUCAGAGCAAAAGAAGCCAAGUGGAGCAGAAAUAUCUAUAAAGGUGAAGCAAGCAGGAAGAACUGCAAUCUAGACUCUUCAGGCUAUGUGAAUGAAAUGGAUUCUGCUCCCCUAAAGACGAAUAAAUGAUUUACAUGAAUAUAUAUUACAUCAGUGGUCCUUACAACAAUGCUGUAAGGCUGGCUUGAAUUAUUAUCACAGUAUUAUCACAGGAGGUUCAUCUUGCCUCUAUCUUGUUGUUCUUCCAUGUGAUGUUAAGACCUACCUAUUUAGGAAGGCUGAAUGUCAUUGCUUGCCUGCCAUAAUCACAUGCCAUUCUUCUGGAUUUUUCCUUCCUCCAACUUUUUAAUAUGUUUCGUACUGGCUGUCUUAUUACAUUGCUACAUUGCAUGCUUCUAUUGACACUUCUUUUUGCAUAUUGCCUUUCUUCUUAUAUUUCAUUAUUCUCAACAGCUGGCUUGAAAGGUGAGAGAUAUACAUAUUUCAAAUAAGAACAUUAUUGUGGUUGGGAGAGGCUUGGUGAGAAUGGUGCUCCUAAGGUCAUCCAUUACAUUCAUGGCUGAGGUAAAAUUUGAACUGAUUGUUUCUGGUUCAUGGGUCUUAACAGCAAUGGCACACCGACAACUCUUUUGGAGGGCAUCAAUUAAAAAGCAUAUUCACUUCUGGAAAACAACAGUGGUUAGAUCCCCUACCACCACCCUGUGCCUUAUCUAGUGUCAGAUACACUAACAAUGGAAGGAAGAUUCAUUUUGUUCAUUGCCACCAUCCAGGAUGAUAUUUCUUUUAAUCAGUUCCUCCCAGUACCUGAUAAGAGAACACAAACUGCUUAAAUUAAAGGGUGGGCAACAGACCUUCAAUAAUAGAUACCUCCUAUAGUCUAGUCCUUCAAAAGAAUUUUGGGGCUAGCAAAAUUAAUAUUCAGUGUUUUUCUACUAGGAUGGAGUUGAAAUUGCAGUUCUUUUAUAAACAUUAUUUAUUUAUUUGAGAUAUUUAUAGCCUAUCCUUCACUGUGAUAGAUCUAAGGGUAGGUUACAAUGCACGAACUGUAAAAAAAAUACAACUGCGAAAAAGCAGAUAAAGAACCCUAUUCAUCAGGUUUCCAAUUAGAGUAGCAAACAUACAAUAUUAAAACUACGAAACUAAUAAACAGCAAAGCAGGCUACUCUCAGUUACUCUUAGUGAAAUCAUUGUGCAAGAAGAAAUCCUAUAGCAGAGCCCAUCUGUUGAAAUGUGGCUGUGGACACCCUCCGUUGCUGAACUGAUCUCCAGGAGCAGAACACAAAAGGCCUGAGGCCUGUGAUCACUCCUGAGGGAACAGUGACAUGGUUUCCACAUCCCCUGCCCCCAAAGCACUAUGCAUGUAGUAUGACAUGGUUCCCUUACUUAAUAAAAUAAUGCAAAAGAAAAAAAGCUGUGCUUAUAGCAAAGGGGAUCUCAAGCUUGGAAAUACAGGCUCAUAACCCAUUAUUGUGAACUAAAAACUGAUAGGAAAUAUUCUGCCUCUUCACAAUGAACCAGAACUGGUGAGAGAAUUUCAUACAGAUUCAAAAUGACUGGCUAGAGAUUGACUCUGUUUUGAAAUAAAAGUCUAAUCUGAGGCCAAGGUCAGUCAGAUGAUGGGUGAAAAAGAAAACAAGAGGAGGAGGUCAGCUGCAAGCUGGAGAAGCAGAGGUUACUGGACCAGUGUGAAGACUGUGGCAGAAGUCCUGAUAAAAACCUGAGAGACUCCAGAAUGAAGAGUUCAUGAGCCUUAUGGCAAGUAUAGUCACGAGUGCCAAAUGAAUGGGUGUUACGGUAACUGAGCAGGAGUGAUUUAGGGAAUUGGCUUUGAUUAGGUAGAAGAACUAAAUUUCUCUUAACUUUCCUCUUAAAGAAGCAGCAACCACACAGUGCAACCAUUUUGCACUGAAGAAACAGUAGCCAACCAAGAUCAACACAUACCAAUUAGGGCUGGGGGAAGAAACUAUAUUCAGUUUGCAUUUAAAUGCAGUCUUCCUUAUUUUGCACCUCCCAAAACAGUAUGUGAACCGAAACACAGCCAUCUUUCGAAAUUCUCACCUCUUUGAAUUUUGCAAUGUGGUUCUUCAGUGAAGUAAUGUGUACAAAGAUGCCUAUGCCAAAGUGAAGUUUUGAGAAAAAGUAUAUUGUGAAAAUAGCACAUAAAGUGCAUUGUAUUUUGAAAUUCUCCUAAUAUACAGUAUAUUCGAAUAAUUCUGCAGUAAAAUGCUGGUGAAUUUAUGAUAACUUAUUUUAAAAAAUAAAAAAAAUUGCAAACCAAUUUGGAAAUGUGGAGAAUUGAAUUCAAGAAAGGAUAAAACUGAACCUGAAAAAAUCCCUAAUAGUAACCAUACAAAUUAACACCACCACCUGCUUAUUUAAAAUACAAUAAAAUUUACUUUGUUUUCAAUUUAAAGUUGAACCUGUGCUGCUUUGUCCCACACUUAUUCACAACCUCAGGAAGCUGAGGUAUUUAGUUAUAUGGUGGCAGAGGUAAAAGGGUUAAAAAAGUAAGUAAAGCAUCACAGCUGAGUAAGAAACACUAACGUGUGAAACACUUCUCUCUAACAAUGGGGGGGGGGGCGGGAUCUCCACAUUGUGCUACUGCUUCCCUGAGCAGCAAAUGUGACCACAACUAGACAGGACCUUUAUUUUUGUGUGCAUGCUUAUAAUCCGAAGGGUAUACAGCCAAUUAUUUAGGUCUGUGACAUUGCAGGAAAAUACAGAUAGUAGAAUUAAAUUCAACAUUCAACUUCCUGUCAAAUAGCCCAAGGUACUGUGAGGGAGGAUGCUUUUCAUUUGGACCACAGGAAGGGGAGAGGGAUCUCCCCCCCCCCCCCCGCUUGCCAUUUAUGUAUUAAUGAAGAUUCAGGGAUCAGGUUUACCCUGUUCUCCCCAUCACAGUCCCUAUGAGGAAGUCCCCUCCCAAUCCCUGAUGCCAUUAAUCCUAUGAUGAAAGUUCACUUUGAUGCCAGUGGGAUCGUCAAGCUGGGAGGAGGGAGCAAUUUUCAUCCAAACAGUGGCAGGGGAGGAAUGCCCUCUAUCUAUUUACACCAUGCUCCCAAUCCUGGAAGGUGGCCAGUAUGCUAUUUCUCUUUUAAACAAGAAGCAUAAUGUAAUAAUUACACUUCAACUGAUGUGGUUUAAACUAUGUGUAGCUUGAGCCCCACGAUGAACCCAAACAAGGAUUUCAUAGUAAAUAUAUUGCAUUUGGCACUUCAAUAACUUAUUCCAGGACAAUUAUUUUUGUUUGACUUUGUUGUACUCUCAAUCAGUGAUUUAAACAACAAAUUCCCAUCUGAUUUUAAAUGUAUUGUACAAUAAAUGAGAGAACAGAAAAGUUCAGGUUUUGGAAUUCUGCAAGUGCAUUUAGUUGGCCACUGUGAGAACAGGAUGCUGGACUAGAUGGACCUGAUCCAGCAGGUUCUGCUUAUGUUCUUAGGUGCAUGUGGUGUUCAGGCGCUGCUCCUUAGUAUGAAGAUAACGGUGAUACAAGAGUGCAUGUAUUUUCAUAUGUGAAACGUUGUUUGGGGUAUAACACAAGGAAUCUGUAGAGACAGGGUUUUAGGGUUGUUUACAAAUUGGAAACAUAUCAAUAGUUUUUUUUCAAUGAACUGUUGACAUAUUGUGACAUAUACAUGGGAGGAAAGUUAAAACCAUUAAUACUAAUAAAAAUCUUGUAAUGACAAGGCAGUCAUAUUUUGCUUUAACUAGGGAACAGCAGCUAUGCCUGAGGUCAAAGUCAUUCAUUAAUGUUAAAACUAUCAAUAAAUGAUUGCCUUUUAUUAUCUUUUAAUUAAACUUACUGUGUCAGAAUAUGAAUUGUAAAUUUGACCUUUGGUGCCUACGCACUUUGUAAUGUGGCUGUGGCAUUUUCUUCAAGCAGGCAGGUUGAAAAAUUAGAAUGCAAAAUGAGUCUCUUUCCAAUAUUUCAAAAGCCAUAUCCUAAUAGCAAAAUGACUUAACAUUUUUAUUAACCAAAGGCUGAGCGUUAUAGCAACUGAUAGGUACAACAUGUGAUAUUAUAUAUUCAUCUUGAUAGUAGAGGUAGUGAUACCUUUUGCCAUUCAAAGCUACAUGUGCAAUACCUCUUGUAUUGGGUGCAUUGGUGACAACAAGGGAUGAGUGAAUGUCAAUUUCGGUUUCUCUUGGUUCUUUGAUUUUUCCAGUAUUGAGCUCAGGUCUUCAUAUUAUAUAGCAGUUUGUUAUUGGCAUCCAUCUGUUCCAAGAGACUAUGGAGUAUGCCUGUGGGGGUAAAGUCAAACCACUGUUUUUGCCGCACUGAAAUGACCUCCCCAAGGUGCAAGCCUGGGCUUUGUGUAUGAAGAUCCUGGGCUAUCCAGAUGACAAUGCCACACUCUUAGCCUCACUGAAAGCAGAGAAAAAUGUUUGUCACCAGCUUGGCUGCAAGAGUUGCUGGAAUGAGGCUUACAAGGUUGUCUUAGGAACUCCAGAUUUGUGUAGAUUUUACUUUCUUAUUAGUAUCAGAGUUUUAGACCCAAACUCGGGGGGUUAUGUGAAACACCUCAGUCCUAAACUAUUAAGUAUACUAAUUUAAUUCACUGAAAUUGUAGGUGCUUGUAUGCAUUACCAGUGCUUUUUUUGUUAAAAAAAAUGUUUAGGGGUAGUCUCAUUUUCCUACUCAUAUUGAAAUACUGCCCCUCAAUGAGGCCAAACUUAGAUUCACAAAAUGUUUAGGGGUAUACGUACCCCUGCAUUCCCUCAGAACAGGGGUCAGCAACCCGCGGCUCCGGAGCCGCAUGUGGCUCUUUUACACCUUUGCCGCGGCUCCGGGGCAGAUACUAGCGAGGGGAGGAGACGCAUUGUGUGCCCCGACACUCCCCACUGUGGCGGGCGCUGUACUGGCUGUGACGUCGCAUGGGGGCGGUGCGUGCGUUAGUCACGCACCGUCCCGACGUCACCUUCCCGCCCGCUGUCAGAUCAGAGGGCAGCGGCGCGCAUGCAGUGGUUUUGUGGCUCCCAGUUUUUUUUUCUUCGGAAACGGGUCCAAGUGGCUCUUUUUGUCUUAAAGGUUGCAGACCCCUGCCCGAGAAAAAAGCACUGUUCAUUACUAUGUGUUUAAAUUUGAUUGGUUGGUAACUGAAUUCUCAUGUGAUUGGCUAAUGUUGGUCACAUGGGAGGUAUCUAGUGAAGGAGAGACUCCAUUUUAUGUGAAGCAAGAUUACUGUGUUUUAGAGUCCACUGUGAACACUGCUAAAUAGAAUAGAGUGUUUGAGUGCUACUUCUCUGCUUGAAAAAAAGAAAGCAAAGCUGCAGAAGAAGAAGGUAAAAGUGGAAAUGUCUCAUAGGACCUGCAAGACAUGGCCUAAGAGAGAUACAGAAGGCUGAGUGCUGAGUUCUAGAAAGAGAGAAAAAUACAGUUGUUUGGAAAUUAGAAGAACUGUAAGCCCAUGCUUGGAGAAGCAUGCGUCUGUAAAUAUUGUGUUUUAAUUCAUCUAUAAGUUGCUGCAAGUAAAGUUUUUGAAUGUUAAAGUCCAGACACUAGUCUAAUUUCCAAAUGAGGUUAUCAGUCAUAUAUAUUAUUUGACCUUCUUAGCUGCAUUUCUGCUACCCUUACUUCAACAUAAACUGACUCAAUGGGUAUCAGGGUUUUAUUCCAAAAGACAAAGUGCAUAAAUGAUUGGCUGCCUGAAUCACAACUCCUCAUCCAGAGGUCACAAAACCUAAUAAGGUGCUUCAUGAACUCUCCUAGCAUUUACUGGUUGCAAAACAAAUGGAAAGUAAUGAUGAGAUUAAAAGAAAGGGUGGAUUAUUUCAAGCAAAAGGAGAAGACAUAGAGGUUAUGGCGGCUCAUGCACUCCUGAAGUCAAAUCAGAAUAAGUCAAAUGCGCAUAAUACUAAAAAAAACCCCAAAGCUGAUUAAUUGGUGUUUCAUAUGAAUUUAGUGCAGCAAAUGUGAGAUAGGCAAGCAAGAAAUUAGCACACUCUUUUUUCCAAAGCGCAUUUAUGGAGGUUUCCCGCCUCUGGCCCUUUUUGAUUUAAGAAACGGAAGGCUCAGGAGAUUUGUUAAACAACACAGAGAGCAAAACAGCACUGAUUGCUCGAAGUGUCAAUCUGAGCCCCCAAACAAAAUAACUUUCCAACGCUUUGACCUUUCGAACACAUGCAAACAUUUCAGAAUGUUUAACAUUAAUAUUAUCCCAAGGCACAUGCUUAUUAGCAAAAAGUCAAAUCAUACUCUGGUUUUCAGUACUUGCUAGCUAUAGCUAUUAGAUCUUAACUUUUACAAGAAAUGUGAACUAGACUGUAAUUCAUCUCUUUAUAUUUUUGUUGCACCCAGGAUUAAAACUAUACUGAGUUUAUACAAAAAUGUUUUCAAAUCUGCAACACAACAUUUGAAAUUUAUGAUGAACAAUAGAUUCAUUGAUUGAAAUUUGUCACCAAGACAAAGGUCAGCUGUGGAUUUUAGCAUUUAAAAGGUGGGUUUCAACAUCUCAAAUGUCAGUACAUGCAGGUCCCACUGCUGGAAUGGUCAUUAUCAGAAAUUUCAGUUAUCCAAACACCAAGAAUUAUACCCAAACCUCACAACACUAACAGCUAAUUCAGAAAUCUGAAAAGCCAGAGUUUGCCUACUUGCUUAUUUAUUUGUGUUUUGCUGGUUGGUAGCAGCCAUUUUGGGCAGAAACCAGGAAUGUAUUGUACCUACAAAGCGGGACCUACAUGUAUUACAUGUAUAGGGACGCAGUUGGCGCUGUGGCCUAAACCACUGAGCCUCUUGGGCUUGCUGAUCGGAAGGUCAGCAGUUCAAAUCCUUGCAACGGAGUAAGCUCUGUCCCAGUUUCUGCCAACCUAGCAGUUUGAAAGCAUACCAGUGCAAGUAGAUAAAUAGGUACCACAGUGGUAGGAAGGUAAACGGCAUUUCCGUGCGCUCUGGCUUCCGUCACAGUGUCCCGUUGCACCAGAAGCAGUUUAGUCAUGCUGGACACAUGACCUGGAAAGUGGUCUGUGGACAAACACUGGUUUGAAAGCGAGAUGAGCGCCACAACCCCAUAGUUGCCUUUGACUGGAGUCGUUUGACUGGAGUCCAGGGAUCCUUUACCUUUACCUUUCAUAUAUAUAUGUAUUGCAAAAUCAUCAGGUUCAUCUCACGUUUCAUUUUUAGGGUCUUCCAGCAUGUGUCAUUAUUAGUGAUGCAGUUGCUGUUUGAGCCAAUGUUAUUUCAAAUGACUUUGUAGCUGAUGGUCUGUGUCUUUGGUCACAUGUCACUGUUAACAGACAGUGAAUGUGGAGUUUUCCUUUCCACGCUAAUGGUGGAUUGUGCCCAAAUUGAGGAAAGUUCCCUAACUUAAACUUGUGUUCCUCCAGUCAGUGAAUGUUGGAGUUAAGAGCAAGUGCUCCUUUGUAUUACCUUACAGGGUUGUUGGAAAGGUGACUAAUGCAUCUUUCCCUCAUCUCCCUUGCAGUGGAAAAGUGACCCUGUAUGUUUUUGCCUUCCAUCAUGCUGUGCAAUCGAAAUUAUUCAGCCCCCAUUAUAAAUCAGGUUUAUUAUCAAAAUUUAGACUAUCAGAUGUUUACAAUGAGCAAAUCAAACAAAAGCAAUUGAAAUAGCUCAACACAAUGGAUGCUUCAAGUGUUUCCCCCAAAUUCAGCUAAAAUUGCAACUUAUACUGGCUUCUCCAGUCUCACUACUAUUCAACCCCUUCAUGGCAAGCAUCUUUAGUACUUAGCAGAGCAGCCUUUCGCUGCUAUGACCUGCUGCAAACGGGAUGCAAACCAGACAGCAACUCUUGGCCCCAUUUCUGAAGAAUCGUAGCCCGUUCCUCAUGAGCAAUGACCUCCAGUUCAGCAAUAUUCUUGAGUUUGCAUGGUGCAACCACCUUCAAAUCCCAUCAGAGAUUUUCUAUGGGGUUCAAGUCAGGUGACUGUGGUGGCCACUGUAGAACUUUCCAGGACUUCUGCAACCAAGCCUUGCUGGAAUUUGAGGUAUGCUUGGGAUCAUUGGAAGGUCCAAUAGCUUAUUAAUGCUGACAUUGGUAACAUCAAGACUGGAUUUUCACAAUGCUCCCUAUGUGAUGCUGUCCCACAACUUGGUUCAAAAGCUGAAGCUGGUGCAAAAUGUGGCUUCUAGGUUGCUGAGUUUAGCACCUCGCAGCAUACACACAGAGCAUAUGCUAAAGAAAUUGCACUGGCUGCCAAUCUGCUACCAAGUCCAAGUUUAAGGUGUUGAUGUUGAUUUAUAAACAGCAUGCAACCAGGCUAUCUGAGGCAAUGCCUUCCCCCAUAUUCCUCAGACUGACCACAUUGAUACUCAGAGGUGGCCCUCCUGGUCAUUCUGUGCUGUGUGGAAAUGCAUCACAUGACCAUAUUAAAGAGGGCCUUCUUGGUGGUAUGACCUGUUUUGUGGAAUGAUCACCUGCCAAAUAUCUGGCAGGUACUAACUGUGGUGGUUACUAAUUUGGCCAGGCAUUUCUGGGCCACAGUUAUUUUAAUGUCAGUUUUACCGCUUCAUGGAUGUCACUGUUAGAUAGAUCAAUGAAUUUAUCCUAUUGUGAACCAUUGUGCUAUGGCUUUAAUUAAAGGCACAUAAAUAAGUCAAAUAGUAAUCAAUAAAAGACUUCAACUGAAAAUGAGUGCUACACACUGAGAUCAGAUUAGAUAUUAAGGCAAUAAAUGUUUUUACAGUGAAUGGAGAAGGUUUAGUGUGAUCUCUCCAGAGGACUCAAGCAGCUAUGCUUCAGGAUGUGGCAGAUGGUCUCCUACCAAUUAGCCUGUUUCGGGGGGGAGUGGAAUUAAACACCCUUCUUCCUGACCUCACUAAUGUAGCAAUCAAACAUCUCUCUGUGCACAUAGGACAAAUCAACCAAUCCUCCACGCAAGAUUAUAAAGUCUUUCAAAAGCAAGUACUUCAUCCAUUGUUUAACCUCUCUAUAUAGGGAUGUUGUGAGACAUCAAAAAGUUAUGUUCACAAAAGUUGAUUCCUGAUGAGUUGUUGGCAUCUGUCUCGAGAGACAAUGGAGUGUGCCUCUGGGGAUGAAGUCAAACCACUGCAUUUGUAGCACUGAAGUGACCUCACUGGUGAGCAACCCUAGGCAGUGUGCAUAGAGGUUCUGGGCUGCCAAGAUGACAAUCUUGGCCUUGUUGAUGUGGUCCAAAGGAAAGCAGAGCAAGACGUUUGGCACCAGCUUGGCUGCAGGAGUUACAGGAAGGAGGCAUACAAAGUGCCAUCUAACCACCUUAGGGCCUUAACUCUGGAUAUGUGUAUGGUAUACUCCUUAACCUUUUCUUCUCUUGAAGAUAUCCUGCAAGGCAGUGAAGAUUUAGGAUCAGAGUUUUCCUUCUCCUAGAUGAGCU
rnacentral:lncRNA from 1 species